GGACGGUGGAAAAAAGUCAAGAAGGAGGCAAAGAACAAAGUGACGUGUCUUCAUGCUAUAUACAAAGAUUCUGGCGUGAUUCCUAAUAUUUGAUUGUUCAGGGGUGGAUAAUUUGCUGCCCUGACACGGAACGGCGGGACUCUGCUUGAGCAAGACUUACUUCUAAUACCCCCACAACUAUGAAAAAACCUUAACCGGAGAACUGAAGGCUAUUACCGAUUAUAAUCCUGUCCAGCAAAAGGUCCUCCAACAGGCGUGAAAGCCUGACCAAACCAGAUAAUGGAGAUGAGAAAAGUUACCACUG